AUUGAACGCUGGCGGCAGGCCUAACACAUGCAAGUCGAGCGGAGCGGCGGACGGGUGAGUAAUGCAUAGGUAUCUGCCUGGUAGUGGGGGAUAAGGUCCGGUACUGGGCGCUAAGACCACAUCCUUUCAGCUGCGCCUAGGCCGGGUUAGCUAGUUGGUGGGGGAAAGGCCUACCAAGGCGACGAUCCGUAACUGGUCUGAGAGGAUGAUCAGUCACACUGGAACUGAGACACGGUCCAGACUCCUACGGGAGGCAGCAGUGGGGAAUAUUGGACAAUGGGCGAAAGCCUGAUCCAGCCAUGCCGCGUGUGUGAAGAAGGUCUUCGGAUUGUAAAGCACUUUAAGUUGGGAGGCGUUACCAACAGAAUAAGCACCGGCUAACUUCGUGCCAGCAGCCGCGGUAAUAC
rnacentral:rRNA from 1 species